rnacentral:rRNA from 1 species
CCGCACAAGCGGUGGAGCACGUGGUUUAAUUCGAAGCAACGCGAAGAACCUUACCAGGUCUUGACAUCCCCUGACAACCCGAGAGAUCGGGCGUUCCCCUUCGGGGGGACAGGGUGACAGGUGGUGCAUGGUUGUCGUCAGCUCGUGUCGUGAGAUGUUGGGUUAAGUCCCGCAACGAGCGCAACCCUCGACCUUAGUUGCCAGCAUUCAGUUGGGCACUCUAAGGUGACUGCCGGCUAAAAGUCGGAGGAAGGUGGGGAUGACGUCAAAUCAUCAUGCCCCUUAUGACCUGGGCUACACACGUGCUACAAUGGCUGGUACAAAGGGUUGCCAACCCGCGAGGGGGAGCCAAUCCCAUAAAGCCAGUCGUAGUCCGGAUCGUAGUCUGCAACUCGACUACGUGAAGUCGGAAUCGCUAGUAAUCGUGGAUCAGAAUGUCACGGUGAAUACGUUCCCGGGUCUU